rnacentral:lncRNA from 1 species
AACAAACUUAUGGAGCAUUAAGAAAUGUUUUAGAGAUAUAGAAGAUAAUUCAUUAGGAUUUAGAAUUUACAAAGACUAAAAGCUUUUAAAGGUAGUGAAUGGAAAGAUAUUUUUAGUUCUCAGGAAUCUAAGGAUCACCUGAUCCAACUUUGUGGAAACCAAAGCAAGGAGGAGUUAAGUGAUUUGGCUGGUUAGCAUCAAAGAUGAGACUAAUAUUCAGGCCCCCUGCCUGCCUGGCUACAAAUGUUUUAAAGGUGCUAAAGCCAAAGCAGGGGUCCUAAUUCCCCGCUUACCUAAAUGAGGCCCAUGCAUACAUGAUGCCAUAUGCUAGGAAAGGGUGACACUCUAAGGGAAUGUCUAUAUGAAACCUCCAUGAAAAAAAAAAAAAAAAUCAAUGUAGAGCCUUGACACAUUCUCAAGCCCCUUUUCUCAAAUUCACUGAAGCUCUCUAUUUUGUGGCAAAGCUGUAUGUGAAGUAUAGGUAAUAAAUGACACCAGCAUUAUUUUCACAUCUAAAAGUUCCUGAACAGCACUCUUCUUGUUUUUGUUAAAAAAAACAAACAAAAAAACCCCUAGCUUUCGAUUAGCUUCAGCCAGCCACAUUCAUUGCAUACACUUCAAGCAUGAAAUUUUGUUGUUGACAUAGAAUCAUAUCCCCUCAGGGUAUAAAAAGCCAUAUCUGAGUUCUCAAGUGUUUACUUAAAUAGAGAAAAAUGGAAAGUAGGGAUUAGCAACCCUUAUAUUAACUGUGGGGUUCUUAGCUUGGAUUCUAGAGUUUAGCUAUCUGGGUUCAACUCCAGAACUUCCUUUUUUUUUUUUUUUUAAGAGUAUAGUUGAUUUUCAGUGUUGUAUCAAUUUCUGUUGUAUAGCACAGUGACCCAGUCACAUGUUUUUCUUUUUAGGGCCACAGAGAUGGCAUAUGGAAGUUCCCAAGCUAGGGGUCGAAUCAGAGCUAUAGCUCCAGCCUACACCACAGCCAAAGCAACAUGGGAUCCAAGCAAUGUCUGCAACCUACACCAUAGCUCACAUCAACACUGGAUCCUUAACCCACUGAGCAAGGCCAGGGAUAGAACCUGGAUCCUCAUGGAUACUAGUUGGAUUCAUUUCCACUAAGCCACAGUGGGAACUCCCUAUACGUUCUUUUUCUCAUACUAUCUUCCAUCAUGUUCUAUCCCAAGAGAUUGGAUAUAGUUCCCUGUAUUGUACAGUAGGACUCCAUUGCUUAUCCAUUCUAAAUGUAAUGGUUUGCAUCUACCAACCGCAAACUACCUGGCCAUCCCACUUCCUCCGCCUCCCCCUUGGCAACCACAAGUCUACUCUCCCUGUCUGUGAUCUGUUUCUAUUUUGUAGAUAAGAUCAUUUGUGCCAUAUUUUAGAUUCCACGUAUAAGUGACAUCAUAUGGCAUUUGUCUUUCUCUUUCUGGCUUAGUAUGAGAAUCUCUAGUUGCAUACAUAUUGCUGCAAAUUCUAUUACUCUGUCCUUUUAAUGUCUGAGUAGUAUUCCACUGUGUAUAUGUACCACACCUUCUUAAUCCAUUCAUCUGGCAAUGGACGUUUAGGUUGUUUCCGUGUCUUGGCCAUUGUGAAUAGUAGUGCAACAAACAUAGAUAUUCCAUUUCUAAGCCGUGAGGUCCUAGGCAAGUGAUUUGCUUCCUCUUUACCUAUGUAUUUUCAUCUGUAAAUUGAGGAUGCAAGCAGCACCUAAUUUUUAGCAGUGGUGGGAGAUGGAGAUGAUGCCUGUCAAGUACCUGCCUUGUACCUUUUUCAGAGCUCUGUUCACUAUUAGCAUUCAGCAUUUCUAGUUUCCGUUUAUAUUUUUUUAUUCACUGAAAAGAUAUUUAUGGAGUGCCUACCACAUCCCAGGCACUGUUUAGGCACUGGAGUCACAGAAAUGACAGAUGAAAUCUUUAUUCUUGUAGAAUUCUGAACAUUUUCUAAUACAGAUUAAAAAUUAGGAAGCAACCAGAAAAUGUAUACAUAUACACACACACAAUAUGAUUUUCUCUAAGAAACCUUAUGAUCAGUUUGGGGAGACUUUGUAAAAAAUUUUAAGUGAACUUCAAAUAAUUUUUUUUUAAAUAAGAAUAAAUGAGGAGUGUAUUUCCCACUGUGGCUCAGCGGUAGCAAAACCGACUAGUGCCCGUGAAGAUGUGGAUUUGAUCCCUGUCCUCUCUCAGUGGGUUAAAGGAUCUCUCAUUGCCAUGAGCUAUGGUAUAGGUCACAGACGCGUCUUGGAUCCUACAUUGCUGUGGCUGUAGCUGGCAGCUGUUGCUCUGAUUCGACCCCUGGCCUGGGAACUUCCAUAUGCCAUGGU